rnacentral:rRNA from 1 species
GUUAAGCGACUAAGCGUACACGGUGGAUGCCCUGGCAGUCAGAGGCGAUGAAGGACGUGCUAAUCUGCGAUAAGCGUCGGUGAGGUGAUAUGAACCGUUAUAACCGGCGAUUUCCGAAUGGGGAAACCCAGUGUGUUUCGACACACUAUCAUUAACUGAAUCCAUAGGUUAAUGAGGCGAACCGGGGGAACUGAAACAUCUAAGUACCCCGAGGAAAAGAAAUCAACCGAGAUUCCCCCAGUAGCGGCGAGCGAACGGGGAGGAGCCCAGAGCCUGAAUCAGUGUGUGUGUUAGUGGAAGCGUCUGGAAAGGCGCGCGAUACAGGGUGACAGCCCCGUACACAAAAAUGCACAUAUUGUGAGCUCGAUGAGUAGGGCGGGACACGUGGUAUCCUGUCUGAAUAUGGGGGGACCAUCCUCCAAGGCUAAAUACUCCUGACUGACCGAUAGUGAACCAGUACCGUGAGGGAAAGGCGAAAAGAACCCCGGCGAGGGGAGUGAAAAAGAACCUGAAACCGUGUACGUACAAGCAGUGGGAGCCUCUUAAUGGGGUGACUGCGUACCUUUUGUAUAAUGGGUCAGCGACUUAUAUUCUGUAGCAAGGUUAACCGAAUAGGGGAGCCGAAGGGAAACCGAGUCUUAACUGGGCGUUAAGUUGCAGGGUAUAGACCCGAAACCCGGUGAUCUAGCCAUGGGCAGGUUGAAGGUUGGGUAACACUAACUGGAGGACCGAACCGACUAAUGUUGAAAAAUUAGCGGAUGACUUGUGGCUGGGGGUGAAAGGCCAAUCAAACCGGGAGAUAGCUGGUUCUCCCCGAAAGCUAUUUAGGUAGCGCCUCGUGAAUUCAUCUCCGGGGGUAGAGCACUGUUUCGGCAAGGGGGUCAUCCCGACUUACCAACCCGAUGCAAACUGCGAAUACCGGAGAAUGUUAUCACGGGAGACACACGGCGGGUGCUAACGUCCGUCGUGAAGAGGGAAACAACCCAGACCGCCAGCUAAGGUCCCAAAGUCAUGGUUAAGUGGGAAACGAUGUGGGAAGGCCCAGACAGCCAGGAUGUUGGCUUAGAAGCAGCCAUCAUUUAAAGAAAGCGUAAUAGCUCACUGGUCGAGUCGGCCUGCGCGGAAGAUGUAACGGGGCUAAACCAUGCACCGAAGCUGCGGCAGCGACACUAUGUGUUGUUGGGUAGGGGAGCGUUCUGUAAGCCUGUGAAGGUGGCCUGUGAGGGUUGCUGGAGGUAUCAGAAGUGCGAAUGCUGACAUAAGUAACGAUAAAGCGGGUGAAAAGCCCGCUCGCCGGAAGACCAAGGGUUCCUGUCCAACGUUAAUCGGGGCAGGGUGAGUCGACCCCUAAGGCGAGGCCGAAAGGCGUAGUCGAUGGGAAACAGGUUAAUAUUCCUGUACUUGGUGUUACUGCGAAGGGGGGACGGAGAAGGCUAUGUUGGCCGGGCGACGGUUGUCCCGGUUUAAGCGUGUAGGCUGGUUUUCCAGGCAAAUCCGGAAAACCAAGGCUGAGGCGUGAUGACGAAGCACUACGGUGCUGAAGCGACAAAUGCCCUGCUUCCAGGAAAAGCCUCUAAGCAUCAGGUAACAUCAAAUCGUACCCCAAACCGACACAGGUGGUCAGGUAGAGAAUACCAAGGCGCUUGAGAGAACUCGGGUGAAGGAACUAGGCAAAAUGGUGCCGUAACUUCGGGAGAAGGCACGCUGAUAUGUAGGUGAAGCGACUUGCUCGUGGAGCUGAAAUCAGUCGAAGAUACCAGCUGGCUGCAACUGUUUAUUAAAAACACAGCACUGUGCAAACACGAAAGUGGACGUAUACGGUGUGACGCCUGCCCGGUGCCGGAAGGUUAAUUGAUGGGGUUAGCGGUAACGCGAAGCUCUUGAUCGAAGCCCCGGUAAACGGCGGCCGUAACUAUAACGGUCCUAAGGUAGCGAAAUUCCUUGUCGGGUAAGUUCCGACCUGCACGAAUGGCGUAAUGAUGGCCAGGCUGUCUCCACCCGAGACUCAGUGAAAUUGAACUCGCUGUGAAGAUGCAGUGUACCCGCGGCAAGACGGAAAGACCCCGUGAACCUUUACUAUAGCUUGACACUGAACAUUGAGCCUUGAUGUGUAGGAUAGGUGGGAGGCUUUGAAGUGUGGACGCCAGUCUGCAUGGAGCCGACCUUGAAAUACCACCCUUUAAUGUUUGAUGUUCUAACGUUGGCCCGUAAUCCGGGUUGCGGACAGUGUCUGGUGGGUAGUUUGACUGGGGCGGUCUCCUCCUAAAGAGUAACGGAGGAGCACGAAGGUUGGCUAAUCCUGGUCGGACAUCAGGAGGUUAGUGCAAUGGCAUAAGCCAGCUUGACUGCGAGCGUGACGGCGCGAGCAGGUGCGAAAGCAGGUCAUAGUGAUCCGGUGGUUCUGAAUGGAAGGGCCAUCGCUCAACGGAUAAAAGGUACUCCGGGGAUAACAGGCUGAUACCGCCCAAGAGUUCAUAUCGACGGCGGUGUUUGGCACCUCGAUGUCGGCUCAUCACAUCCUGGGGCUGAAGUAGGUCCCAAGGGUAUGGCUGUUCGCCAUUUAAAGUGGUACGCGAGCUGGGUUUAGAACGUCGUGAGACAGUUCGGUCCCUAUCUGCCGUGGGCGCUGGAGAACUGAGGGGGGCUGCUCCUAGUACGAGAGGACCGGAGUGGACGCAUCACUGGUGUUCGGGUUGUCAUGCCAAUGGCACUGCCCGGUAGCUAAAUGCGGAAGAGAUAAGUGCUGAAAGCAUCUAAGCACGAAACUUGCCCCGAGAUGAGUUCUCCCUGAGACUUAGAGUCUCCUGAAGGAACGUUGAAGACGACGACGUUGAUAGGCCGGGUGUGUAAGCGCAGCGAUGCGUUGAGCUAACCGGUACUAAUGAACCGUGAGGCUUAACCUUACAACGCCGAAG